GAUGAACGCUGGCGGCGUGCCUAAUACAUGCAAGUCGAGCGAACAGACGAGGGGCUUGCUCCUCUGACGUUAGCGGCGGACGGGUGAGUAACACGUGGAUAACCUACCUAUAAGACUGGGAUAACUUCGGGAAACCGGAGCUAAUACCGGAUAAUAUAUUGAACCGCAUGGUUCAAUAGUGAAAGACGGUUUUGCUGUCACUUAUAGAUGGAUCCGCGCCGCAUUAGCUAGUUGGUAAGGUAACGGCUUACCAAGGCAACGAUGCGUAGCCGACCUGAGAGGGUGAUCGGCCACACUGGAACUGAGACACGGUCCAGACUCCUACGGGAGGCAGCAGUAGGGAAUCUUCCGCAAUGGGCGAAAGCCUGACGGAGCAACGCCGCGUGAGUGAUGAAGGUCUUCGGAUCGUAAAACUCUGUUAUUAGGGAAGAACAAAUGUGUAAGUAACUAUGCACGUCUUGACGGUACCUAAUCAGAAAGCCACGGCUAACUACGU
rnacentral:rRNA from 1 species